GUUGUUUACUGUCAUAUAGACCGUUCGGCCAAACGAGGACGACCGAAUAUGACAGUAAACAACUGCGGAAACUAUAAUGGGUCCCAAGGUGGAUAGAACGGCAUACGCAAC